UCGAGCGACGACGCGGCACUGUGUGAAGAGUUGCAGGAAGUAGGCAGUUCCAGUCAUGCAAGCAAAAGUGAUGGCUCCCGUUUUUGUAGCAUUCGUCGUGGCUGUGGCAGCCAUCUCGGCGGUCGCUCCUCAAGAACGCCUGGACUGCCCUGCCGUGGACGACAAGGGAGACAACGCCACCUACCUACCAAACCUGUACAACUGCUCCCAAUUCUACGUUUGUGCUCAGGGUGUCCCAGC